rnacentral:rRNA from 1 species
AACGGCGGCCGUAACUAUAACGGUCCUAAGGUAGCGAAAUUCCUUGUCAGGUAAGUUCUGACCCGCAUGAAAGGCGUAAUGAUCUGGGCACUGUCUCAACAGCCCGCCCGGCGAAAUUGUAGUACCGGUGAAGAUGCCGGUUACCCGCGACAAGACGGAAAGACCCCAUGGAGCUUUACUGUAGCCUGAUAUUGGGUUUCGGUGUUGCAUGCACAGGAUAGAUGGGACGCUGGGAAAGAAGCGCUUUGGCGUUUCCGGAGCGGACGUUGGGAUACCAUCCUUGCGACAUUGGAAUUCUAACCUGCGCCUCUGAAUCGAGGCGGGGGACAUUGUCAGGUGGGCAGUUUGACUGGGGCGGUCGCCUCCUAAAAAGUAGCGGAGGCGUUCAAAGGUUCGUUCGAUCUGGACGGAAACCAGAUGAUUGAGUGCAAACGCAUAAACGAGCCUGACUGCGAGACUGACGGGUCGAGCAGAGACGAAAGUCGGAGUUAGUGAUCCGGUGGUAUGUGAGUGGAAAUGCCAUCGCUCAACGGAUAAAAGUUACCCUGGGGAUAACAGGCUGAUCUCCCCCAAGAGUCCACAUCGACGGGGAGGUUUGGCACCUCGAUGUCGGCUCAUCGCAUCCUGGGGCUGAAUUCGGUCCCAAGGGUUUGGCUGUUCGCCAAUUAAAGCGGUACGCGAGCUGGGUUCAGAACGUCGUGAGACAGUUCGGUCCCUAUCUGUCGUGGGCGCAGGAUAUUUGAAAGGCGCUGUCCCUAGUACGAGAGGACCGGGAUGGACGAACCUCUGGUGCACCAGUUGUCACGCCAGUGGCACAGCUGGGCAGCUAUGUUCGGAUCGGAUAAACGCUGAAAGCAUCUAAGCGUGAAGCCGGCCUUAAGAUAAGAUAUCCCACUGAGUCAAUCAGGUAAGACCCCUUGAAGACUACAAGGUUGAUAGGCACACAGUGUAAGCGGAGUGAUCCGUUCAGCUAGCGUGUACUAAUAGGUCGAGGGCUUGACCC